GACCCAAUGGCGUAGUGGUUAGUGACCCUUGACCACUGAGCCGAAGGUCCCGGGUUCGAUUCCCGGCUGGGGCA
rnacentral:tRNA from 1 species